UGAUAUUAAAUAUCCAUAAUCAAUGUGAAUACCAAGAUGGAGUUUUGCUCAAGUGACAAGUCUAUAAAACCUAAAACCUUACUUAUAAAAUGUAUGCACAUCAAAUAUCAAAAUUAAAGUAUUAUGUCUUUGUUCUGAGAAACUUAUAAAUGUGUAGUUUUGUGUUUUAACAUAUUGGUAUCUGAAUUCAAAGAAAAAAUAUAAAAUUUUUUAUGAAAAAAUUGAAUCUUCAAUCAUCGUUUACUGAAUCAAUAAUAGUAUGUUCAAUAUUAAUAUGGACUAUCUCAACUUAAAUUGAUAUUUGUUAUUGUCUACAACUACACUUCUACCAACGUCAAAUUUGGUGUAUUAUAUUAUUGUAGUCAAUCAGUCUAAACUAAUUCCAUCAAUACAUUGUCGAAUGUUGUGGUAUUCAAUUUUCAGUAAAUUUAUAGGUGUUUUAUUUUAAGUUACUGUGGCACACUAUUGCAGAUAACGGUUUUCCAUUAAGUCAGUAAGAAGAAUAAGAUGGAUUCACAAGUUCAAAUCAAAUAUUAGACAACUAUAUAUAUUUAUUUAUUCAGCUAAAAAUGUAAUUCAAUAAAAUAAUUUAAAAGUACUUUAUCAUUUUAAAAGUGACAUAAAGUUUUUAAACUCUAAGUAUUUAAACACACAUAUACUUAACAUAUUUAUAAUUAUUAAACAUUAUUUAUUAAUUAUUAAUGAUGAAUUCUUUAUUUAAUAUUAAUUUAAUCUAAAAUGCUGCUGAGAAUGUUAAUAUUUCUAAAAUAUGUUAUUGUCUUAAUCCAAAUCUUGAAAUUAUUUUCAUGAUGGCAUAGUUUUGGCAUUAGCUAUUACAGAAUUUAUUGACAAUUUUCUAGUGGUUUACGAUUAAGUUUUUAUAAGUAAUAAAGUAAAUAAAAUUAUAAAACACAAAAUAGAAAGAAAAAAAAAUGUUAACUAUUGGAUUAAGUGUAAAAAAGUAAAUUGAAUGAAUAUACUUAUAAAUAUUUUUUAACUUAAAUAUGUAAAUGGAGAUGGAUUUCUUCUAGUGGGAAAUCAUCAAACAAACUUUACCGCCCUAGGUAACUUCCUAUAACUACAUCACUAUAUACAGCAAUAUGUUGUACCUCUAUUAUUUACAAGUUAAUUAUAGAUAUGUUAAUUUUAUUUAGUCUUAGUUUUUUAAUAUGAUUUAGCAAAUAAAAAUGUUUAUUCGUA